CGCUGGCGGCGUGCUUAACACAUGCAAGUCGAACGGUAAGGCCCUUCGGGGUACACGAGUGGCGAACGGGUGAGUAACACGUGGGUGAUCUGCCCUGCACUUUGGGAUAAGCCUGGGAAACUGGGUCUAAUACCGAAUAUGACCAUGGACUUCACGGUUUGUGGUGGAAAGCUUUUGCGGUGUGGGAUGGGCCCGCGGCCUAUCAGCUUGUUGGUGGGGUAAUGGCCUACCAAGGCGACGACGGGUAGCCGGCCUGAGAGGGUGACCGGCCACACUGGGACUGAGAUACGGCCCAGACUCCUACGGGAGACAGCAGUGGGGAAUAUUGCACAAUGGGCGCAAGCCUGAUGCAGCGACGCCGCGUGGGGGAUGACGGCCUUCGGGUUGUAAACCUCUUUCACCAGGGACGAAGCGAGAGUGACGGUACCUGGAGAAGAAGGACCGGCCAACUACGUG
rnacentral:rRNA from 1 species